rnacentral:lncRNA from 1 species
UUUCUUAUCUUGUAGACAUUUCCUGUUAUGUUUUUAUGGAAUAAUUGGCAAUUGGCAUGACUUAGUUUUUGCAAGGAGUUGAAAAAUUUAAGAGUUAAAGGUAAUAUCUAUAUCUUAUAUAAAGAUCUUUCUUGAUUGAAUCUUCCUGUAUAUUAAGACUUUAGAAGUUUCACCACGGAGGUGAUGGUGAUGAGUUUGUCAGAAUAUUAUUUCAUCAUUUGAAAAGAUUGUGCAGUAUAGAGAGGCUAGAUAGAACACUAGUAAGGUUUAUGAUGCCAUCAUCAACCGAAAAGUAUGUAGAUUGGAAUAAAGACUCAUUUUUUAAAUUAAUUAUAUCUUUAUAGGUGAAAAAAAGAUCAUAUCUAACUCUUAAAUGCCACCAUCUUUGUUUCAUUGUAGAGAGGGCUGAUGUUUAAGUUUCAAUUUCCCAUCUUGGUUGAUUGCUAGUUAACUAUGUGUUGGUAAUCAUUAUCAUAGUAUUUUAAAGAGAUUUAUUCAAUUAUCAUACUUGAGUACCGCUGCUAGUUGUCUUACAGCAAUAGGUUGGAUAUUAUAUAUAGGGAGCUUUUGUAACAUUACUCUUGUGCUUCCAGAGACUGGUUUAUGAAUGACUUUUGGGGAUUUGAGAUUUUGAUUUAUGCAGAAAUUUUGGGACUGUUUUAUUCAUGUAUUAAUUAAGCUUGUUUUGUUGUCUGUUUUAGAUCAUCAAACACUGCUACAAAUGUCAUUCAGACACCUUCACAAGCUAAGUGAGUUUGAUUCUAAUAAAUCUCCGACACGAUCACAUCAGUCAAUUAUUUAUUCAAUGCCUUUCACUUCUCUUCACUUUUUUACAAGAAGAUUUGAGAGGUUAGACUAUGUGUGGGUUUAAAAUAAUAUUGAAUGUUGUAUUGAAAAGUGUGGAUGUGUUGAUUAUUUCAAUUGAGUAUUAUUGAAAUUCCUUGAUAGCUUUGUGAUAUUGGUUGUUGUUGGCUUUAUUUUCUCUAAGUUGUCAAUUUUAUUAAGCUUUUUUGUUGAGCUGAGUUUAUCUUCUUUUUUUUUCCUUUUCAGAAUUAAAAGGUCUGAGGACAUCCCUGUGGAAAUAUGGAGAGGAUUGAUUCAACCCAGCGAUUUUAAGAAUCGUCUCCUGAAACCAACUUAUGAGUUAACUGUUAAAGGAGGAGACAAAGUUAAGCAUACAAAUUGAAGGAAUUGAGGUUACAAGUAUAAAUUUGUAACUUUAUGGUUUAUAAUUGAUGAUUCUAGGUAUAUAUUAACUCUACUAUUAUGGAAUGAUUUUAGUAUAUAUAAGUAUAAUUUAUGCUAUUAGGUGUAUGAUACUCUAUUAUUAUAGUAUGAUGAUUUUAGUGUAGAAGUAUAAUUUUNN